AGAGUUUGAUCCUGGCUCAGGAUGAACGCUAGCUACAGGCUUAACACAUGCAAGUCGAGGGGCAGCGAUGAAGAAAGCUUGCUUUCUUCAGGCGGCGACCGGCGCACGGGUGAGUAACGCGUAUCGAACCUGCCUCAUACUCAGGAAUAGCCUUGCGAAAGUAAGAUUAAUGCCCGAUGUUAUUAGGAUAUCACAUGAUGUUUUAAUUAAAGAUUUAUCGGUAUGAGAUGGCGAUGCGUCCCAUUAGCUUGUUGGCGGGGUAACGGCCCACCAAGGCAUCGAUGGGUAGGGGUUCUGAGAGGAAGGUCCCCCACAUUGGAACUGAGACACGGUCCAAACUCCUACGGGAGGCAGCAGUGAGGAAUAUUGGUCAAUGGACGCAAGUCUGAACCAGCCAAGUAGCGUGCAGGAAGACGGCCCUCUGGGUUGUAAACUGCUUUUAGUUGGGAAUAAAGUGCACCACGUGUGGUGUUUUGUAUGUACCAUCAGAAAAAGGACCGGCUAAUUCCGUGCCAGCAGCCGCGGUAAUACGGAAGGUCCAGGCGUUAUCCGGAUUUAUUGGGUUUAAAGGGAGCGCAGGCGGACCUUUAAGUCAGCUGUGAAAUACGGCGGCUCAACCGUCGAACUGCAGUUGAUACUGGAGGUCUUGAGUGCACACAGGGAUACUGGAAUUCAUGGUGUAGCGGUGAAAUGCUCAGAUAUCAUGAAGAACUCCGAUCGCGAAGGCAGGUAUCCGGGGUGCAACUGACGCUGAGGCUCGAAAGUGCGGGUAUCAAACAGGAUUAGAUACCCUGGUAGUCCGCACAGUAAACGAUGAAUACUCGCGAUUUGCGAUACACAGUAAGUCGCCAAGCGAAAGCGUUAAGUAUUCCACCUGGGGAGUACGCCGGCAACGGUGAAACUCAAAGGAAUUGACGGGGGCCCG
rnacentral:rRNA from 1 species